rnacentral:rRNA from 1 species
UACGUAGGGUGCAAGCGUUGUCCGGAUUUAUUGGGCGUAAAGAGCGUGUAGGCGGCCAGACAGGUCCGUUGUGAAAACUCGAGGCUCAACCUCGAGACGUCGACGGAAACCGUCUGGCUAGAGUCCGGAAGAGGAGUGUGGAAUUCCUGGUGUAGCGGUGAAAUGCGCAGAUAUCAGGAAGAACACCUAUGGCGAAGGCAGCACUCUGGGACGGUACUGACGCUGAGACGCGAAAGCGUGGGGAGCGAACAGG